ensembl:snoRNA
AUCUUUUGGUAGUAUAAGUGUGAUCAUUGGAUUUUCAUGCUCAUGCGUGAUGCAUGCCUCCCUCAAACCUUGCUAUGACACCAGCACAUUAUUUAUGUGCCA